CAACAGGAAAGACUAGGUGUGAGAAUCUCGAGCAAAUUGCACCAAAUAAGUUGUUUGAGCAAGCUUCCACAAUGCGCCCUGCAGUAGUAUACUCCUCCAUCAGAUGGUUUCAUCUCUGGACAUGUAUGGCGGCAGCAAUCCUGUACCAUGGUUGAAGAUAUAUAGCAGUUAAGAAAUGUUGAUCAACCUCAACUAUGUAUGCCUGAUCUAGCUGACUGUAACCAUGGCCUCUGCCUGCCCAGAUUGAUGCCCGAUGAGAUUGUGUUAGGAUUCUUGUAGAUAAAACUAUUAAUUUUUGCAAUCAGUU
rnacentral:lncRNA from 1 species